GCAACUAGGUAGUCAAAGGUGCGCGAAGUCUUGGGAGCUCGGGGGGAGCUCCUAAACGAGUGGGCUGAGUGCGGCGGCGGGCUGAGGAGGGUUCUGCGGUGGCGGCUGAGGAGGGUUCUGCGGCGGCGGAUGAGGAGGGGUUCUGCGGCGCGACGGAGCUGCGGAGCUGCGGCCGCUAGAGGAGGCCGUAUGACCUGAAGAGGGGUCACCAGGGUGACUUGGUCCAACUCUUCACCUUGUUGGUCUCCCUCUUCCUCUGGAAACGUCCCAGGGAGCUUUAGCAGACAAACUCUCAGAGGAGCCAACGAAAACACAGACGCGAUGACGACUGAACAUCAACCUUAAAUACGAGGACAGUACAUGAGAGAAGUUUGUUAGCGACGCCUUGUAGUUCACUCCGAAAAGAGAUACAACGUAUUUAUCAAAUCGUACGAAUACAUAAGAGUAGUACGAACUUACAUCCGUACAGAACGGACCCUGUACACUUACGGCUCUUGGAUACUCUGUAAAAACCAAGGUUCAGUACGACUACACUCUCUUAUACAACGACAAUACACUGUCGCGUUAAUACACUACUAUAUAACUAAGGUUCAGUUAUCUUAAUACAACAAGUACA
rnacentral:rRNA from 1 species